CAGAGCCACAUCUCCCUGCAACACACUGGUGGCCCACUGAAGCUAAGCAGGGUUGAGCCUGGCUAAUACUGGGAUGGGAGACCUCCUGGGGAAAACUAAGGUUGUUGCUUGAA
rnacentral:rRNA from 1 species